rnacentral:lncRNA from 1 species
UGAUUUCAGGGUGGAGAAUGGUAGUUUGUACAUCUAGCUCUAUGACGAAUGAGAAUCUAAUUCCUGAACGUUGAAAUAGGAUGGGAAAUAAGGGAUGAGUGUGGGGUAGUAUUGUAAAGUACAGUCGUGUUGUAGCCCCCAUAGUUAAGGCAAGUCACGGGAAGGUAAACAAAGCUGCCAUAGGCCUACAGAUCAUGUCAAAAGAGAGAGAGAUAGAACUUGUCGACAUUUUAAAUUUUAAAGAAGGAAAAUCUCAUGGCCAGUGUCCCUCGUGCCGGUACAUCAUGGGAGGUUUGUUGGCCUUGGCGAGAGUGCAGUGUGUGGAAGCCUUGAUGUUGCCUCGUAUUGGUUAUAAUUAGGAAUAAGUGCAAUUGGUGUGUCGCAACUGAUAAAAUGUUUGGUAAAUGUUUUGAAAUCGGUCAUUCGUGGCGAUAGAGUAAAAUUAACCAUUGUAUGUAACUGAUGUGAUUUGAUUGCUGAGUUUAUUUUUGUUGUGACUGUAUUGGAUAUUGAAGCCGAUGAAUAUGUUCAAAUGUAGAAAGUUGUUGGUUAUUUCAUAAAGCGGGCAUUGUGCGUUAGAAUUAAAUGGUGAAUUCGGUAUUUGAAAAUUGCACAUUUCGUGGGCACAGUACACUCCUGAUGUUUAUAAACUCGAUGAGAAAGAGGCAUUCUAUGCCAAACUUGCAUCUAUGGCAGACAGAUGUUGCCGGCUAAAUAUUUGCAUCAUACUGGCCAAUAAUUUUUGGCUGUGAAUGAGCUGGAUACAAGAUGUCUGUUGGUCAUCAUGGCUCAGGAGCUGGAUCAUCGGGUACAGUUGGCAGGACCAUGUGUCCAGCUGACAGCUACACUGUGAGACUGGCAUCGGACCUGUUACUUGCAUAAUAUGAGAUUGUCAACUCAGGCUAUGUGGGCACCCUAGCUCAUUUCCCUGUGGAUAACCCUACCCAUCAGGUUUCCUCCUUUAGACAAUCCUGGAUGGAGGAGGCCAGUUGGAUGAUGUGGGGGUUAUGGCUUGAGCAGCUUGACCAGACCUGUCACAAGGAGCUAGAGAUGGGCUGAGAGCCUGCCAAGAGAUUUGCCAUGAGGGACCCCAUGAGUGGACGUGAAGGGUGGAUAUGGCCAUGCACCCCUGUCGGCGUUAAACCCCAAUGAGGAUGACGAAGGCAAACUACAGUGGUUCUUCGUGACUUGAUGCUCGGUGGAUUCCAGACGAUGUGAAGUCUUCAUUCCUUGAAAGUGAUGACAAAAAAUGUGGGAGUUUGAUCCAGAAGUGUAGAUGUAUGGAUUGAGGCUACUACUCGUAUUGAAGAUCUGACAGGUUGUGACCAUCUGAGGUGGCUGUAGAGUGGAAAUUGCAGUGUUGGACUUGCAUAUUGGGCCUACCUUCUAUUGCUACUCAAUCAUUUCAUCCACAAAAGAUGUGUGCGACUGAUCUCAAAUGCCUUCAUGAUGGUUUUGGAUGCCGUGACUGCUAGACCUUCCAACCUGUCACUGAAAAUUUAGCCUCUGGGAGGUAGACAAUCAUGUUAAUUUGAUGUGAGAAUAAACAAAUAAAGUAUUAAUAAUG